CGUGAGCUCAGUCUGCGAGGGACAAAAGUGUAACUCAAACCCAGAAUUAUGGGCUGUGAGGUCGGGCAACAACAACAGGCAUUAUGCAUUGUUUGUCUGGUGGCCUGUCGCAGGAAAAUGCAUUAUAUUUUAAGAACCGGCUUUGGGAUCAAACUGAGGAAGACUGAGGAUGUGGUCGAGUGUUCCCAGGUGUAUCCAGUUCCUCUGUGUUUUGGGUCGCUGCUGAGAAAGAAAGGAGCACGGCAGGUCUCAACAAACUUCCCCCUGAAUAACUAAACAGUUUGCAGGGAAAAAACCUUCCGCAUCGCAGCACGAUGACCUUUUGAUGACUUUAAGGACGUCUCAUCAAUGUUUGCUUAAUGUAGAAACAGUAUCUGGGGAAAACAAACUCACCACAAGCUCCAGAGCAGGAGCUCGUGGUGAGUUUGUUUUCUCAACUGCUGUUUGUGAGGUCAUGAACGAACUUUGAACCUCAGCUUUCAACCCAACGUGGACGAGAGCACCUUAAGAUGGAAACAGGUCGACUCUUACUGCAACAGUCCAGUUACACACCCUCCAACUCUACAAACAGAGGUGACACCUGAGGUUACCUGUGGCUAACAUCUGGCACAUCAACUAAGAACUCACACAAUUUAAAUAAAGACAACUUUGGAAUAACCUCGAGUCGCAUUUCUCCUCUUUUGGUGGAGGCCUCCACCUCAACCAUAUCCCGGGCCAGUCUGCCCAGUUAACACUCGAACUCCCAGUAAGACGGCAAACAAGCCGACCCCCAACGUAAACUGUGACGAGUUACACUACUCGUUACUGUAAUGUGCAGCUGUUGGUCGCCACGUUGGAUGCUGGUGUUUGAAUAUGUUGAACAUGUGAGAGGUUUUGGACGCUGUGAUUGGUUCAUUAACAAAUUUAUCCCAGGAAACAAACCUUUUCUACACUCUUCAGGCCAGAGUGUGAAAACUACAGUCCUCCCAUAAUGCACCGUGCUCGAUUGCAGCAACAACAACAGGCCUCACGGUUGACUGCCUCUACGCCCUCAGUGAGGACUGACCCACUUGGCCCGCGCCGGCCGCACGGUCCGGUCCAGAGCCGCCAGCUGCUGUUGCCGCGGGUGAUGAUGAAGAUGUUGGCACAGGCGUCGACUCAGGUGCCGUCUCCAAGGGAACCAGCGGGACUGUGACAAUCUGAUCAUCUCUGCAGCGACUGACACCUGACUGCACCCCCAACCUGGAGCGGCUCGCACCGUCAGCUGUCCUCAACAGGCCUGAAUGACAGAGAUACAGGAGGCUGCUGAAUGGCACGUGACCUGACGUGACUUGUUAGGAGAGGAACAGCGUUUUAAAACCAGCAGCUAAUUAAAUAACAAAUAAUCAAUAUUUUAAAUAAGAUAAAAAUGCUAAUGAAUGUGGGUUUUUUUUUUUUCUCCACUGUAGGAUGAAGAUGUGUCACAAAGUUUUUCCAGGUCAGAAUAGAAAUAUAAGCUGUUUAGCUCUUGGGUAGCUCAAUCAAGUUAAUUAGACUGCAAUCAAGGCUUUAUCAUUAUUUAACAUUUUGCCUCUUUGAUGUUGAUGUUUUGGGUUCAUUGCUCUGAGCAUUGCACAAUUGCACACACACACACACACACACACACACACACACACACACACACACACACACACACACACACACACACACACACACACUCUAAGCUCUUAGUAUUUAGGUGAUGUUGCCCCACAGGAUCUGCUCGACAGAACUCAUGUAAACACAAUAAACUUUUUAUUUGUUAAUCCAGUUAUUUUUUUUUUUUUAAAUAUUUUAUUGAUUUUGUAUUUUUGAGCAAAGGUUAAAAAUACUAUAUAUUUACUGUAGAUACAAAGGUUGUGUGAAAGCCCGAAAUAUUAAACAUAAAAUAAAAUGAAUCCAGAUUCUAAAUGUCAAAAGUUCAAAUGUGUGGCCACCUCCCCUCCAGUGCUCGUUUGCAAACGUGUCCCCUUUGAUUUGUCAUUGGCUUGUGUGAUAACUGGUGUGAUUUUAAUUGGACGGGACAUUCAUCAGGGACGCUCUCAUUGGUUCGCAGGCCAGUCGGCGCUCCCCUCCCUUUGACCACCUUACUUCCUGUCCCCCAGGACACCAUUAGGCCGCUGCCAGGUCCGAGCCUGUUCGUUAAAACUUGUCACGCUGCGCCGCUGCCACACAUAACAACGGCAGCGCGAGGGAGAAAAUGAUUCAAAGCUCCCUCCUUAAAAACUGUAAUGCUAUAUUUAUAAGCCAGUAUUUAUAAACACAUUUGCAUAUAUCAAGAUGAAAAAGUUGUUUGAAUUGGGAGCAAUUUGCAUUUGGUGAAACAUAUGGCAGAGCCACGGAAGCCAUGGGCCAUGCCUUCAUUACCCGAUCUUCGUUUCAUCAGCUCCUUGCUCCCCCGCUGAGCCUCCCCACGGCGGAGCCUUCUGUCCCCGAGGUUUCAGUGACAGGGGACAAUAUGUCCCCAAGGUGAGGAGCAGGGGGAAAGCUGCACGCACACCGCUCCUCCAAUGAUUAUUUAAUCAGACUCUUCACUCUGGAUCUGAAAGAGGAGAGAGGUACAAAGUGGCGCUUAUUACCCAUUUGUUCAGCGCAGGGAAAGGAGAGCAGAGAGAGGGAGAGAGAGAGAGGGAGAGAGAGAGAGGGAGAGGGGGAGAGAGGAGUGAGUGCUCGAAAUGGCAGAUCGGUUAACACAGCUGACGAGCGGGAAGAGAAAAGGUCCAGAGGAGAGGAAGAGGAGACAAGAGGAGAGAAAACGGACAAGUGGAAAAGGAGAUUGGACAGAAAGAGGGCAGAGAAAAGAAAAAUAGAAGAGGAGGACAAACAAUGAAAAGGGCCAGUGACUGAGCAAAUGGCCGAGUCGAGGAGAAAAACAAACAGAACAGGAGUAAAAAAAAAAUAAACUUCCUGUAUCAAAGUAGCAGCUAAGAUUUGAGCCUCUUGUCUGAGAUCAGAGAUACAAACUGCAGGGGAAGAAAGCUGAGUAUUUCCAAUUCAGAGAGAAGCGUUUAUUUGACAGCACUACUUAGAUACAGAACAUGUGACCAUCUUAAAAACAGAUUGAUUUCCCAACAGCAGAUGAAGUGGUUGAAAUAAUCUAAACCUCAACAAUACUACAUUAAAAUACAGUUUCCACAUUAACAAAUGAGUCGCAGUAACUUGACUCUGACGGCACUAACGUACUUUUACUUUAGUGAAAUUAUGAAUGUGGGACUUUUGCUUGUAGCAGACUGCGCUUUAAUAUUGUGUCAUAUCUACGUCCACACUCACACAGGGAACCUGACACUUCCUCCGCCACUGAUGUCACGUGAAAAUAACCCUCCAAACCAAACAUAGAGCAACAAAGGAGCGGAUAAGAGAGUAGAAGAGGAACAAAGUGGAUGUGUGUUGAGGUCUGGCGUUGCUCGGGUGGAGGUCCUGCAGGUGAAGGUUCGGCCUGGCUGCGGCUUGGCGUGCCACUCACACCAGCGACACAUUUGCAUGUGCAAAAAAG